rnacentral:rRNA from 1 species
UUUGGUUAAGUUAGAAAGGGCGCACGGUGGAUGCCUUGACACUAGGAGUCGAUGAAGGACGGGACUAACGCCGAUAUGCUUCGGGGAGCUGUAAGUAAGCUUUGAUCCGAAGAUUUCCGAAUGGGGAAACCCACCAUACGUAAUGGUAUGGUAUCCUUAUCUGAAUACAUAGGGUAAGGAAGACAGACCCAGGGAACUGAAACAUCUAAGUACCUGGAGGAAGAGAAAGCAAAUGCGAUUUCCUGAGUAGCGGCGAGCGAAACGGAACAUAGCCCAAACCAAGAGGCUUGCCUCUUGGGGUUGUAGGACAUUCUAUACGGAGUUACAAAGGAACGAGGUAGACGAAGCGACCUGGAAAGGUCCGUCGUAGAGGGUAACAACCCCGUAGUCGAAACUUCGUUCUCUCUUGAAUGUAUCCUGAGUACGGCGGAACACGUGAAAUUCCGUCGGAAUCUGGGAGGACCAUCUCCCAAGGCUAAAUACUCCCUAGUGAUCGAUAGUGAACCAGUACCGUGAGGGAAAGGUGAAAAGCACCCCGGAAGGGGAGUGAAAGAGAUCCUGAAACCGUGUGCCUACAAAUAGUCAGAGCCCGUUAACGGGUGAUGGCGUGCCUUUUGUAGAAUGAACCGGCGAGUUACGAUCCCGUGCGAGGUUAAGCUGAAGAGGCGGAGCCGCAGCGAAAGCGAGUCUGAAUAGGGCGUUUAGUACGUGGUCGUAGACCCGAAACCAGGUGAUCUACCCAUGUCCAGGGUGAAGUUCAGGUAACACUGAAUGGAGGCCCGAACCCACGCACGUUGAAAAGUGCGGGGAUGAGGUGUGGGUAGCGGAGAAAUUCCAAUCGAACCUGGAGAUAGCUGGUUCUCCCCGAAAUAGCUUUAGGGCUAGCCUUAAGUGUAAGAGUCUUGGAGGUAGAGCACUGAUUGGACUAGGGGUCCUCAUCGGAUUACCGAAUUCAGUCAAACUCCGAAUGCCAAUGACUUAUCCUUAGGAGUCAGACUGCGAGUGAUAAGAUCCGUAGUCAAAAGGGAAACAGCCCAGACCGCCAGCUAAGGUCCCAAAGUGUGUAUUAAGUGGAAAAGGAUGUGGAGUUGCUUAGACAACUAGGAUGUUGGCUUAGAAGCAGCCACCAUUUAAAGAGUGCGUAAUAGCUCACUAGUCGAGUGACUCUGCGCCGAAAAUGUACCGGGGCUAAAUACACCACCGAAGCUGCGGAUUGAUACCGAAUGGUAUCAGUGGUAGGGGAGCGUUCUAAGGACAGUGAAGUCAGACCGUAAGGACUGGUGGAGUGCUUAGAAGUGAGAAUGCCGGUAUGAGUAGCGAAAGACGGGUGAGAAUCCCGUCCACCGAAUGCCUAAGGUUUCCUGAGGAAGGCUCGUCCGCUCAGGGUUAGUCAGGACCUAAGCCGAGGCCGACAGGCGUAGGCGAUGGACAACAGGUUGAUAUUCCUGUACCACCUCUUUAUCGUUUGAGCAAUGGAGGGACGCAGAAGGAUAGAAGAAGCGUGCGAUUGGUUGUGCACGUCCAAGCAGUUAGGCUGAUAAGUAGGCAAAUCCGCUUAUCAUAAAGGCUGAGCUGUGAUGGGGAAGCUCCUUAUGGAGCGAAGUCUUUGAUUCCCCGCUGCCAAGAAAAGCUUCUAGCGAGAUAAAAGGUGCCUGUACCGCAAACCGACACAGGUAGGCGAGGAGAGAAUCCUAAGGUGUGCGAGAGAACUCUGGUUAAGGAACUCGGCAAAAUGACCCCGUAACUUCGGGAGAAGGGGUGCUUUCUUAACGGAAAGCCGCAGUGAAUAGGCCCAAGCGACUGUUUAGCAAAAACACAGCUCUCUGCGAAGCCGUAAGGCGAAGUAUAGGGGGUGACACCUGCCCGGUGCUGGAAGGUUAAGGAGAGGGGUUAGCGUAAGCGAAGCUCUGAACUGAAGCCCCAGUAAACGGCGGCCGUAACUAUAACGGUCCUAAGGUAGCGAAAUUCCUUGUCGGGUAAGUUCCGACCCGCACGAAAGGUGUAACGAUUUGGGCACUGUCUCAACCAGAGACUCGGUGAAAUUAUAGUACCUGUGAAGAUGCAGGUUACCCGCGACAGGACGGAAAGACCCCGUGGAGCUUUACUGUAGCCUGAUAUUGAAUUUUGGUACAGUUUGUACAGGAUAGGCGGGAGCCAUUGAAACCGGAGCGCUAGCUUCGGUGGAGGCGCUGGUGGGAUACCGCCCUGACUGUAUUGAAAUUCUAACCUACGGGUCUUAUCGACCCGGGAGACAGUGUCAGGUGGGCAGUUUGACUGGGGCGGUCGCCUCCUAAAGUGUAACGGAGGCGCCCAAAGGUUCCCUCAGAAUGGUUGGAAAUCAUUCGUAGAGUGCAAAGGCAUAAGGGAGCUUGACUGCGAGACCUACAAGUCGAGCAGGGACGAAAGUCGGGCUUAGUGAUCCGGUGGUUCCGCAUGGAAGGGCCAUCGCUCAACGGAUAAAAGCUACCCCGGGGAUAACAGGCUUAUCUCCCCCAAGAGUCCACAUCGACGGGGAGGUUUGGCACCUCGAUGUCGGCUCAUCGCAUCCUGGGGCUGUAGUCGGUCCCAAGGGUUGGGCUGUUCGCCCAUUAAAGCGGUACGCGAGCUGGGUUCAGAACGUCGUGAGACAGUUCGGUCCCUAUCCGUCGUGGGCGUAGGAAAUUUGAGAGGAGCUGUCCUUAGUACGAGAGGACCGGGAUGGACGCACCGCUGGUGUACCAGUUGUUCUGCCAAGGGCAUAGCUGGGUAGCUAUGUGCGGAAGGGAUAAGUGCUGAAAGCAUCUAAGCAUGAAGCCCCCCUCAAGAUGAGAUUUCCCAUAGCGUAAGCUAGUAAGAUCCCUGAAAGAUGAUCAGGUUGAUAGGUUCGAGGUGGAAGCAUGGUGACAUGUGGAGCUGACGAAUACUAAUAGAUCGAGGACUUAACCCUAUAA